rnacentral:Y_RNA from 1 species
GGCUGGUCUGAAGGUAGUGAGUUAUGUCUUGUUCACAGUCAGUUACAGAUCAGACUCCUUGUUCUACUCUAACCCCCCUUCUCACCAAUGCACUCGACAGGUCUUGA